CUGGAAAGUGUGCUUGGAACAACAUAAUAUAACUUAACUAAAGUACUUCGUUUACACCGAAAUGAUAUCUGCUCAACCAGAUUAUUCUGAGCCCGAAACUCCGCCCGACAAUCCCCCACCCCCUUAACUUCAUAAUAAAACAUUUUAACGACCCAGUAAAGGAGAUUGAAAAUUCUUUAAGAGCUAUAAAUAAAGUACCGCAAGGGAAAAGUGAAAUACAAAUGAAAUAAGUAAAGCAAAUAAGAGCAGAGAUAUAACCUCGUACCUUUUGCAUCAUGGUCUAGCCAGCACUAAGCAAACAAACACACUGCUAAGUUUGCUCCCCCGAAACCAGGCGAGCUACUUAAGAACAGCCUUUAGGGCCAACCCGUCUCUGUCACAAAAGAGUGGGAUGAUUCUUAAGUAGAGGUGAUAUGCCUACCGAGCCAGGAAAUAGCUGGUUGCUCAAGAAAAGAAUUUUAGUUCUUCCUCAAACCACAUCCUAAUUCUAAAUAAUACUUUGAGAACUAAUCAAAUAUGGUACAGCCUAUUUGAUAACGGAUACAGCCGAAAAUUCAGGGUAAUGUCCCCCAUAACUUAACCAAGUAGGCCUAAUAGCAGCCACCUUAUUUAAUAGCGUCACAACUUAAUUUUCAACUAUAACUAAUACCUCUCACCAUACAAAACCCCACCUCAGUACUGAGCACUUCUAUAAUAUAUAUAUGAUAUUAUGCUAGAACUAGUAACAAAGAAGAAAUACUUCUCCAAAAAUGUAAGUAUACCUCCCGGAAGAAUAUUACUAUACAGUGAGACCCCCCAAGAAACUUUUACUAUUAAAUACCAUUAAACUUACACAAGAACACUCCAGGAAAGAUUAAAAUAAAAAGAAGGAACUCGGCAAACCUUAGUCCCGCCUGUUUACCAAAAACACCACCUCUUGAUAACAUAUAAAAGGCCCAGCCUGCCCAGUGAUAUUUUAACGGCUGCAGUACCACUACUGUACGAAGGUAGCGCAACCACUUGUUCUAUAAUUAAGGACUAGUAUGAAUGGCACCACGAGGACCAUACUGUCUCCUCUUUACAAUCUGUGAAACUGAUCUUCCCGUGAAGAAGCGGGAAUUACAAUACUAGACGAGAAGACCCCAUGAAGCUUCAAACUAACACAGCAACUUUACUGUAUCAACAACACUCUAACACAAGUAAGUAGUGACCAUUAGUUUUUGGUUGGGGUAACCGCGGAGUAAAAUAUACCCUCCAUAGUGAAGGGGGCCCCCCCUAAUUCAAGAACCACAUCUCUAAAAAUCAGUAUACUGACGAAUCUGACCCAUAUAUUUGAUCAAUGAACCAAGUUACUCUGGGGAUAACAGCGCAAUCUAUUUUGAGAGUCCGUAUUGACAAAUGGGUUUACGACCUCGAUGUUGGAUCAGGGCAUCCAAGUGGUGCACCCGCCACUAAAGGCUCGUUGUCA
rnacentral:misc_RNA from 1 species